ACCAUUCGCAAGAGAAACCCAUUUUUCUCUUCUCCUUUCUCUUUUUUUCUUCUUCUUCUUCUUCUUCCUCUUCUCCGUUUUCUUCUCUGUUCUUUUUCUGUAAAAAUCGAGGGAUGAUUUUGAGAGCACGUUUGAGAGUUAUUUAUUGAUGAAUCUAUUCUAAUGGUGAAGGAGGUGUUUUCGAUGUGAUUUAAGAAUGAAAAGAUUUAGUGUUGGGAUUUUGAGACGAAUCAUGGAGAAGUAGAGUUAGGGUUUAUGUGAUUUGGUGAAGGUUUGAUUUGAGGUAACUAAAGAUGGGUUUGUUGAUUUAAUUGAUUAUCUUAUGAGGUUUUGAUGUAAACUGAAGAGUUAGGGUUUCUCUGAUAAUCGAUGAAGAUAAAGACGAUUAUGAUACUCAAAUCGAGAUAGAAGAAGAAUAGGGUUAGCUUUAGUUGGUGGUGGUGGUGUUGAUUCAAGCGGCUGAUACAGAACAUGCAGAGAAGGUAAUUUGAGAAUUAAAAUUUGGGUUUCUGUAUUUUGAGUUCGAGAUUUAAUUAAGGGUGAGUAAGAAGGAAUUACAGGAGGGGUUUGCUAGAUUAGAAGACUUUAAUUCAUGUUUUGAGUUUGAGUUAUAAAAUAAAAGAUUUGGGAAUUGAAUUAGAAUUUGAUUGAGAACUGUUAGUGAUGGUGGAAGUGUGUUUGUGUUGAAUGAACUGAACUUGUGGUUUGUUGAUGUGCAAGAUGAGUUUUGAAUCAAGCUAAAGCAAGAAGAAUAGUCAAUUGAUUAAGAGAAGCUGUUUUGAGGUGGAGAAGUGAUAUUGUUACUUAGUAUAUUGAUUGGAGUUAUAGAUGGGUGUUUAGGAUGGUAUAGGGGGAAUGAAUAUUUCAGUGUUAAAAUAGUAAUUCUAUGUGGUUUUGGUUUGGUGAAGUGCAGAGUUUGGAAUUGAUAGUGAGAAAAUAGAAUGGUGGCCUUGUGUUGUUAAAGUUGUUGCUAAAAGAGUUUGGUUACAUGGAGUUGUAUUUAAGAAUUUGAAUGUUAGAUUUUGAUAAAGAUGUUAAGUGGUGGCUGUGUAUGUUGGUGUUGUCUGGAAAUGGAGCCUCAGGCGAUGAACAUGAAGAAGCUGAUAGUGCUGUGUGUAUUGUGAAGUUUGUAUAGAAUGAAGCUGUUUUGGAUGAUUGAUUGUGGUGUGAGAUUGCAGGCGGUAUUGAACUGGUGGUGCUGGAGUGGUUAAGAUAGAUAUAAUGAUGUUGCUUUAGAGUGGUCAUGAGAGUUGUAUUGUAGUAAUUUAUAGAACGAAUGGUUUCUGAAGUUUCAGUCCAUGAAGAAUGGCGAAUCAGAGUAGUAGAUUGUUUUUGCUGUAGAAGCUUUGAACUGCAGUUGCAGGUAAACUAAGCUUGUGUUUGUAUUUUAUUUUGAAGUAUUGUUGGAUUCGAUGUACUGUCUUGAUGUUGUAAUUAGUCUAGUAGAAUUGAAUGAUAAAAGGAAGAAGACGUAGGAAAUGAAACUGCAAUUGAACUUA